GCAGCUGAUAUUUGAAGAUUUAUUAAAAUAUAUUGUAAUGCCUACUUAGUGCAUAGAGCUAUACGGAAUGUAAAAUCUUGGCUUUUAUCUAAUAAAAUAAUAAUAAUAAAUAGGAUGCGAUAAAUUCCGUUAAAAAUUACAGACCAAUUAAACCUUACUUAGUCACUUUGCUAAGCUAUUUGAAUCUUUACUACUAAAGCAACUAUUUUUUGGAGUCAAACAAGUUAUCGACGUUAACAAACAUGACUGUUUCCAAACAAGUCGGUAAUAACCAACUUAAUACUAUUUAUUUAGAAUGUUUACGAAAAUAUGGAGAAAGGUCUGGCAACUUGAGACGUGUACACUGACUUUUCCAAGGUUUUUAAUAAGGUUAUUAUUACACUUUUCAUAAAGUUCGUUAAGAGAAUUUCGGUGUGCACGAAGCCUUCCUCAACCUCAUUAUUACCUAACGAAUCGGUCUCAGUAUGUCGCCAUGAAUUGCGUAAAGUCUUCUUGCACUAUCGUAACUUCAGGAGUACCACAUGGUUCUCAUUUGGGACCGAUAUUGUUUUCAAUUUUGUUAAAUGACAUUCGUCAAUGUUUUGGAAUUUGUAAAUAUCUUGCAUAUGCAGAUCUAAAAAUAUGGAGCUUUCUAAUCUUGAAAGUUAUUGUACUUAAAAUAAAUUAUCUAUUAAUCCAGAAAAAUGCCAUUCGAUAACCUGUAACGUUUUUAUUUUUUUGGUUGCUUUUAUAAUGUAAUAAUUUAAUAUUGCAUGAAUAGUACUGAUCGCGAUAUAUAGUGUCUAGUUAAUGGCAUUGUAAAAAUAAGAACCCUAGAUGGCGUUAGCUGUUCUUCGCUUUGAAUUUUAAACAAUUUACUAGAAUACGGUUGUUUUUCUCUCUGUCUCUGCCUAACGUGAUUUUUCUGUCUGACUUUGUCAUUGGUCAUGUACGCCAUGCUCAAGGAUCAACUUUUACGUAUUGGCAUUUUCGAUACCGGGCUGUUGUUGCCAUUGUUUUUCCUGUAAUUUCAAUACUUUGCCUUUCUAAAUGGUGCGGUCUUCAGGUUAACAAGUUCAAUUGCUCGAGGUUGCGAUUCGACCUCAUAGUUACCCCAUGGCGACACUAUGUAAUGUCAAAGAUUACUUUAAUCUUUAAUACACUUUAUAAAAGACCCUCCAACAUCUUGAGUUUUAAGGGCCAUCCCGAGAUAUCUCAGGUGCUGUUCCCAUUUCCCAUCAUAAAUUAGAGCUUUAUCAGGAUUUAUUGCUUCUUCAUGGCGUUAUUGAUUGGACCUUACUUAGCUGCUGUCCUUCAAUCUGCACAAUGGGUUGCCAGGUCAAGGAAGAUAAAAGGAACGUGUAACCAGUGUCCUGAUUUCUGAUUUGUUAUUGUUAUUUUGAUUUUGGGACUAGUCAUAUUGGCAAUUUAUAUCAUUUUGGGCUCCUUAAUUUAUUAAUUAUCGUCUAGUGUCUAAAGUUCUUUCUUGGUAAUUUACAUUAUAAUGUAAUUUACAUAUC